rnacentral:rRNA from 1 species
GACAGAGGGUGCAAACGUUGCUCGGAAUUACUGGGCGUAAAGCGCGUGUAGGCGGACCUCCAAGUCGGACGUGAAAGCCCUGAGCUCAACUCAGGAACUGCAUCCGAAACUGGUGGUCUGGAGUAGUGGAGAGGAAAGCAGAAUUCCUGGUGUAGCGGUGAAAUGCGUAGAGAUCGGGAGGAACACCAGAGGCGAAGGCGGCGACCUGGACAAGUACUGACACUCAACUACGAAAGCGUGGGGAGCAAACAGG